CAACGCAAGUCGUAAACGGUAUCACAGAGCAGCUUGCUCUCGGGUGACGAGUGGCGGACGGGUGAGUAAUGUCUGGGAAACUGCCUGAUGGAGGGGGAUAACGUACUGGAAACGUAUAGCUAAUACCGCAUAACGUCGCAAGACCAAAGAGGGGGACCUUCGGGCCUCUUGCCAUCAGAUGUGCCCAGAUGGGAUUAGCUAGUAGGUGGGGUAACGGCUCACCUAGGCGACGAUCCCUAGCUGGUCUGAGAGGAUGACCAGCCACACUGGAACUGAGACACGGUCCAGACUCCUACGGGAGGCAGCAGUGGGGAAUAUUGCACAAUGGGCGCAAGCCUGAUGCAGCCAUGCCGCGUGUAUGAAUAAAGGCCUUCGGGUUGUAAAGUACUUUCAGCGGGGAGGAAGGUGUUGCGGUUAAUAACCGCAGCAAUUGACGUUACCCGCAGAAGAAGCACCGGCUAACUCCGUGCCAGCAGCCGCGGUAAUACGGAGGGUGCAAGCGUUAAUCGGAAUUACUGGGCGUAAAGCGCACGCAGGCGGUCUGUCAAGUCGGAUGUGAAAUCCCCGGGCUCAACCUGGGAACUGCAUUCGAAACUGGCAGGCUAGAGUCUUGUAGAGGGGGGUAGAAUUCCAGGUGUAGCGGUGAAAUGCGUAGAGAUCUGGAGGAAUACCGGUGGCGAAGGCGGCCCCCUGGACAAAGACUGACGCUCAGGUGCGAAAGCGUGGGGAGCAAACAGGAUUAGAUACCCUGGUAGUCCACGCCGUAAACGAUGUCGACUUGGAGGUUGUGCCCUUGAGGCGUGGCUUCCGGAGCUAACGCGUUAAAGUCGACCGCCUGGGGAGUACGGCCGCAAGGUUAAAACUCAAAUGAAUUGACGGGGGCCCGCACAAGCGGUGGAGCAUGUGGUUUAAUUCGAUGCAACGCGAAGAACCUUACCUACUCUUGACAUCCAGAGAACUUUCCAGAGAUGGAUUGGUGCCUUCGGGAACUCUGAGACAGGUGCUGCAUGGCUGUCGUCAGCUCGUGUUGUGAAAUGUUGGGUUAAGUCCCGCAACGAGCGCAACCCUUAUCCUUUGUUGCCAGCGGUCCGUCCGGGAACUCAAAGGAGACUGCCAGUGAUAAACUGGAGGAAGGUGGGGAUGACGUCAAGUCAUCAUG
rnacentral:rRNA from 1 species